AGUGAACGCUGGCGGCAGGCCUAACACAUGCAAGUCGAGCGGCAGCGCGGGGGCAACCCUGGCGGCGAGCGGCGGACGGGUGAGGAAUUCGUCGGAAUCUGCCUUUUUGUGGGGGAUAACGUAGGGAAACUUACGCUAAUACCGCAUACGUCCUACGGGAGAAAGUGGGGGACCGCAAGGCCUCACGCAGAAAGAUGAGCCGACGACCGAUUAGCUAGUUGGUGGGGUAAAGGCCCACCAAGGCGACGAUCGGUAGCUGGUCUGAGAGGAUGAUCAGCCACCCGGGGACUGAGACACGGCCCAGACUCCGACGGGAGGCAGCAGUGGGGAAUAUUGGACAAUGGGCGCAAGCCUGAUCCAGCCAUGCCGCGUGUGUGAAGAAGGCCUUCGGGUUGUAAAGCACUUUUGUCCGGAAAGAAAUCCCUGGAGCUAAUACCUUCGGGGGAUGACGGUACCGGAAGAAUAAGCCCCGGCUAACUUCGUG
rnacentral:rRNA from 1 species